rnacentral:rRNA from 1 species
GCCCUAGUAACGGCGAGUGAAGCGGCAUCAGCUCAAAUUUGAAAUCUGGCUCUUUCAGGGUCCGAGUUGUAAUUUGCAGAGGGCGCUUUGGUGUUGGCAGCGGUCCAAGUUCCUUGGAACAGGACGUCACAGAGGGUGAGAAUCCCGUACGUGGUCGCUGGCCUUCGCCGUGUAAAGCCCCUUCGACGAGUCGAGUUGUUUGGGAAUGCAGCUCUAAAUGGGAGGUAAAUUUCUUCUAAAGCUAAAUACUGGCCAGAGACCGAUAGCGCACAAGUAGAGUGAUCGAAAGAUGAAAAGCACUUUGGAAAGAGAGUCAAAUAGCACGUGAAAUUGUUGAAAGGGAAGCGCUUGCAGCCAGACUUGCCUGUAGUUGCUCAUCUAGGCUCUUUGCCUAGUGCACUCUUCUGCGGGCAGGCCAGCAUCAGUCUAGGCGGUUGGAUAAAGGCCUCUGUCAUGUACCUCCUCUCGGGGAGGCCUUAUAGGGGAGGCGUAAUGCAACCAGCCUGGACUGAGGUCCGCGCAUCUGCUAGGAUGCUGGCGUAAUGGCUGUAAGCGGCCCGUCUUGAAACACGGACCAAGGAGUCUAACAUCUAUGCGAGUGUUUGGGUGUCAAGCCCGAGCGCGUAAUGAAAGUGAACGGAGGUGGGAUCCCUUUAGGGUGCACCAUCGACCGAUCCUGAUGUCUUCGGAUGGAUUUGAGUAAGAGCAUGGCUGUUGGGACCCGAAAGAUGGUGAACUAUGCUUGAAUAGGGUGAAGCCAGAGGAAACUCUGGUGGAGGCUCGCAGCGGUUCUGACGUGCAAAUCGAUCGUCAAAUUUGGGCAUAGGGGCGAAAGACUAAU